UACGGAGGGUGCAAGCGUUGUUCGGAAUUAUUGGGCGUAAAGGGCAGGUAGGUGGUCUUGAAAGUCUACUGUGAAAUCCCCGAGCUUAACUUGGGAAGUGCGGUGGAUACUCCAAGACUAGAGUGCUGGAGGGGUGCGUGGAAUUCCCGGUGUAGCGGUGAAAUGCGUAGAUAUCAGGAGGAACACCGGUGGCGAAGGCGGGUCUCUGGGCCGAUACUGACGCUGAGGAGCGAAAGCGUGGGGAGCGAACAGG
rnacentral:rRNA from 1 species